CGGUGAAGAAGAGGAGAGCUAGAGCUUCGUCGUUGUCGGAGCUUACGAUUGAGGAUUUUGGGCUACGGAGGCUGAGGAGAGACGGGAUGUAUCUGAGGGUGAGGAUUAAUAUACCUAAAGCUGGCCUCACGCAGGCGGUGAUGGAGAAGAUUCAUGAUAAUUGGAGGAAAGAGGAGCUUGUGAGGCUUAAGUUCCAUGAGGUGCUUGCUCGUGAUAUGAAGACCGGCUCAUGAGAUUGUUGAGCGUCGAACUGGUGGAAUGGUGAUAUGGAGAGCAGGAAGUGUAAUGGUGGUUUACCGUGGACGUGACUAUCAAGGACCUUCUGCAGUCUUUAAUCAAAUGGCCAGACCUGAAGAACACUAUCAAGGACCUUCAGCAGGAAGUGUGCUGGUGUAUUCUUAUGUAACAGUAGAUGAUUUGAUGCGUUUCUUUAGUGUCAUUUCAUGAUAUCUUUAGAUAUGAAGAUAGGUUGGUUGAUGUUCUUGAAAACAUGGCGUUUUAAGGUGUAUUGGUUUGAGUUUUUGCAGCUGAUGAGAGAAGAUGAGGCAACCCUUGGUAAAAUAACUAAGCCUAGGCGUCCCAAGACUGUUGUUCUGUGUCCCACCAGAGAACUCUCUGAGCAGGAUGACCAUAACACUGGAGAUCAUGAGGCAUAUGCCUGAGCAUCCCAACGUUGUUACCUUGAGGGAGACUUAUGAGGAUGAGCAUGCUGUGCAUUUGGGUAUGGAGCUUUGUGAAGGUGUUGAGUUGUUUGAUAGGAAUGUGGCGAGAGGGCAUUACACUGAGAGAGCUGCUGCUGUUGUCACUAAGACCAUCAUGGCAGUUGUUCAGGGAUGAGCUGGGUCGCUUUGUUUCUAAUAAAGGCAAUGAAUCGGUUCUCAAGAACUUUUGGCAUCAUACAGAUGCUAUCAUCUGCUGCUCAAUGAAGGCCAUGCCAGUCUUCAUAUUUGCAAACCAGGCGGGGCUAGACAUGCUUGAGACAACAUUGGUUUCUCUUCAAGAUAUCUCUUUAGAGAAGAUAUUUGAUGACAAUGGAAGGAAGACUCUCUGCUCUGAGUUCCCACAGAUCAUGCAACAGGGCUUUGCGAGUCUUCAAGGUGGGAUAUGUCUAUCAAGCAUGGGGAGACCAGUUUCAUACGAGAGAGCAGUUGCUUGGAAAGUACUCAAUGAAGAAGAGAAUGCUCAUUGUAUCUGCUUUGUGUUCAUCAACUGGUCCUUUGUUUGAUACUUCAAAAAUAAUCGGGUUUAAAGAUUUCUAAUUCAUGUAAUAUUAAAAAUUCAAAAUUUGUUUAUUACAGUUAAUAUUUUACCAUUAGAUAUAUUAAAAUAAUAUUCUAGAUCGAUAUUCAAUUGUCAGUUUUCAACUAUUACACGUAAAAAAUAUUAUUAAGUACAUUUUUUUUGAUAAGGGGGUUUUAUAUUUUAAGUAGGUUAUUGGAAUACUUUUUCUUUUCGUGAAUUUAUUCGAUAUGAGAUUUCGAUCUCUUAAACUAAGAUAAUUUAUGUUCUAUACAUAAUUAUAUUUUUUACGUAACUCUAAAAUCUCAGACUUGAUUCUUUAUAUUUUAUUAGUUAAUUGUGUUACAUAUAAUAGAAAUACUUACUUCAAACUUAAAAUAUAAAAAAAAAUCAAAUUUAAAAUUAGUUAUAUAUAAUUUAAUAUAUAAAAAUUCACAUACAAAUAAAAAUGAUAAAUGUAAUAAAUUUGAAUAUAUUAUCCGCGCGUAGCGCGGAAAAAAGAUCUAGUAUAUUGAAUAACUCUAUAAUCUUAUUGUCUAAGCUUCUUAUUCGUCAUUAUUAAUAUAUAGUGAUAUUUUGAGUUUGAUACAUAAAUUAUAAUCUGAAAUUAUUAAAUAUACGAUUUCUUUUAAUAAAGCUUUAUAAUUUCUACAAUUUGUAUACAAUACAUUUUAAAUUUUAUAUAGUUAUACUGCAUACGGAUAUUUGUUUAUUAUCUAUCUAUCUAUCUAUCUAUCUAUAUAUAUAAAAUAUUGUUUGCUUCACUCUCAUGCUGCCACGUCAUCGCCACGUAGAUAAGUCGAAGGCUCCUGUCUUGACACGUGUCUCACAUCCUCGAAACGCAACACUUCGUUAACUCUCGGAAAUUUGGUUAGUUAAGAUUUGAUAGAAACAAUUGCUUUGGGCUUAAAAGCAUAAGUCAAGUGGACUUCUGAUACAAUUAUCGGGCCCCAUUAUAAUUGUCUUCACCUUCACAACUUUGACGAAGAAAAGCAGUCAUGAAUUUCCGCUAUUGUUGAGCUCAUGUUUGUCAAACGGAAUAUGGAGCUCCAGCUGGGUUAAGAGGGAAAAUCAUUUCCGGCGAAUCUCUGGUGGAAGGCUCCGUUGUGGUGCAUAACUUCUCACCUACUUUAAAAAACUGACACCUUUACGAAUCUUCUCGGCAUUCAAUCAUUCACAUCAAUGUUCCAAUUAACUCCAUUUCCCCACUCCUUCCACGAUUUCUCAUUCAUUGCAUUCCCCCUAUCUCACAGUCGGUGAAUUUGUAGCUAUAAGUAUAUGAGUUUUUUUCCCAAAAAUUCAUCAUCUCAUUUCUCACACAAAAACCUUUCGCCAGAGUAUAACGACGUACUCCUCUCUCCUACUUGAUGACAUGAUGUUCGGGCUCUACUGUAACACAACUUUCGAACUACCUCUGAAAUACGGCAGCUGAGAUUUUUGGAUGGCGCUCGAGAGAGAAGCCGCAAGCUUAUGGGUGUCUGACAUGCUGGUCCUCCCACAAAUUAAUUCCAGCUAACAGAAAAUCAAACAUUUGAGAUUUUUUUAAUAGUUCAGUAUUACCAUGAUAGAUAUGAUCUCAGAGCCAAAGCCUUCCAAAAGUCUUCCCAGGUACAGCAAAAGAAAAGAAAAAAUUCAUUAGUUGCUGCUAGAACAAAACAGAGUAAUUUAAUAAUAAAGAAACAAGCUAUACCACUGGCAAUUGUAUCAAGACCCAUAUUGGAUAGAGAACCGAACACAUAGUACUAUUUAUAGCUAAGGGCAUCUCCAAUGGAACUUUAUUUUUUCUCUAUAAUUUACACAAAAAUAAAGUAACUCUAUUAUAGUGUAACUUUUGCUCCAAUGGUGUUACUCUAUAAUAGAGUUACUCUAUUACUCAAUUAUAGAGUAGAAUAUAGAGGAAUGUCAUAUUUUACUCUAUAUUUGGAAUGAAAAAGUGACAUUCCUCUAUAUUUCACUCUAUAAUAGAGUAACUCUAUUAUAGAAUAACACCAUUGGAGCAAAAGUUAAACUAUAAUAGAGUUACUCUAUUUUUGUGUAAAUUAUAGAGGAAAAAAUAGAGUUCCUUUGGAGAUACAAAAGAAGCUAUGGUCAGUCACACCUUUCUACAAAUGAUAGAAAAGGUUGAAAUUUUUCAUUGACUUACGGUGAAUCUGACAUAAAUAAAAAAUUUUAAGAACAGAGAUUGAGCUGUCUCUUUGAUAACUUGAGACAGAUCCAUCAUGCUCGAUUGUCUGGAACCCAUUCGGUACCAACAUCCCGUGUGUAUGAAAGGUCAUCACAGAUCAUUCUUGGCCCCUUUUGUAUCACUCUUCAUUUGAUCCUUAUCUCUACAUUAAAUCUAAUGUAUAAAUAUCUCCUCUUAUAUAUCAAAGCUUCAAGCUUUUCACAUACUGAUGAACUAAAAUGAUAACUCCUUUUGACUUUCUUCUCGGUUUAGAGGAUCUAGAAACUGAGUUUUUUAUGAAGAAGCUUGAAUGAGAACGGCUUAAGAGAGGCUGUCUUAUUGAGAAAGUAAAGGCAUUUGGGUGUAUAUGGCUGCAGUGUAGUGGUCAGUGGCUGGAGAGCUGGAGAGGCGAGAGGAGAUACUUCGUCAGAUAGUUUUUUUUAUGAUGACAAUUGUUAGGGUCAUGGCAUUAACCAAAUUUAGCCAAAAUAAAACUUCUUUUUAUAUAAUGGAUAAUUUAGUAUGUAUAUUUAUUUUCUAAUACUGAAAAUAUGAAAUAUGUAACUAAAAAGAGUUAUGCAAAUUUUGAGAAAACAUAGGGGUAACUAAUAAAUAUUAUUUUAUCAUAUGUUGGAGGAUUCAUUUUCUACUCAUUUUUCAAAGACCAGCUAUAUUUUUUGGAUAUUUAUCAUGUUUGGAUAGUGAUUCAACACCAUUAAUUACCUGGUUUUAAUUUGUGAAGUGAUAUAAUUAAAAUAAAAUAGUAAAUUUGUAGUAAAAUAGUGAAAUUGUAAUUAAAAAUAAACAAAAAUUUCAUCAAAAUUAAAUUAAAUUUAUAUUAUUUCGUUUAUUGGCUUAUUGCUGACCCGCCCGUCCGACCAUAGUAAUUUAUAUUUUCAUGUUGUGUUAUUUUUUUUUGUCAACGUUUCAUUUCAUUGAAAUGAAACACAAAGGCCUUACAUGGAUCAGGUUUAUACAAUGAAAGCCCAAACAAAGAUUCAAUUGAAAUUAAAAACACGGCCCAUGCCGAAGUCGGCAACAUGAUUAUCAUUCUCUCCACGCGUCACUUAUGGAAUGUCGUAGAACAUAUGGAUGAACACGUGUCCUUCAUGCCCGAGGGUGGUACUCCGGUGACGUUGAGGUUGUCGACGCUAUGAACUCCUCCGCAAUUGCUUGUAUCUUUGUCUUCCCCAAACUUCCCGAUCACAUCUAGCUCCAAUCCUCCACUAAAACCGCCAUUUACAGCCACAAUUUCUUUAUCUUCGACUGAUAAAUGCUGAGGAAAGCUCGAUUUUGAUAAAAACAAAACUUUUUAUCGGACCAUCAGAGAUGCCGAUUCUACUAAGUUUCGAAACACAUAUUACUUUGCAUCAAGGAGAAUUUAUGUCAUCUAGUGGCUCACAAUAAGUGAGAGCAAAAAUUGACACCAAUAAACAAAGUAUAUGAGGAUAAUCAAAAGAAGAAAAUACCCGACAUGAAACUAACAGGAUUUAAUUGACUUUGUAAAGGAGGGGAUGAGCUUUUUAAAUUAAAAUCAAACCAUUAUCAAAGAUAAAAUUCUUCAAUUUGACAAUCAGCAUUGAAAUAGUUUGAAAAGACACCACAAAAUCACCUAAGAGAAGAGUAAUCUGCAAUCAGAACAAAAAGAUUGAUCUGAUGAUCGAAGAUUUAGACAAGCAUAACGAUAAUUUUCAUCCCUAUGAAAGAUAUUGAUGAGUUAAGAGGGAUGAAUAGAGAAAAUUUCUCUCUCUCUCCAUGUUGUAUUCAAAAAUAAUACUUUAACAUCUAUCACUUUAGUAUUUUGCAAAAUUUUAUAAGUAGAUACAUUGUUAUAUUUAAAUGAUAUAGCUUUGUUGUUUUAGUAAAUUGUAUACAUAGUAGUAUCUAUCAUACUUUUUUAUUAAUAUAUGAUUUUUUUUAAUGCUACAGCAUUAAGUUUUUUGAUUUUUUUUAUUAUUAAAUUGAGAUUUCAGAAUACUAUAUUACUUUCGAUUUUACAACCUAACUUUUUGUGUUACAUUUCAAAGAAUUAUAUUUUAGCAUCUAUGAUUUUACGUUUUAUAAAAUUUGAAAUAUUAUCAUUUUGAGUUUUCAAUAUUUAUUUUUAAAAUUGUAUACUUGGUCAAGAGAAAUUUAGAAAAUUACACAAUUAUUUUUUUAAUUUGGAACAUUAUAUUUUUUUUUGAAGAUUUCUUACUAAAUUAAUUCAAUAUUUUAUUAAAAAUAUAUUUGAACUCUUCUUAGAUUUUGUAUAUUUUUCUCAACAUAUUUUGUUAUAAUUAAAAGAAACAUUAAAUUUAUAAGAAAAAUUGAUUUGUCAUUAAUAUUUUUAGUUAAUUAUUAAAAUUUCAAAAAAUUCUAGUAACAUAUUCUGUAAAAUAAGAAAUGAACUAAAGCUUAGAUAUAUACUAUUAUUUUGUAUAUAAUUAUGAGAAAUUAUUAGAAAUACCACAAGUGAAGUGCCACUUUUCAAAAAUACCACCAAUAAAAAAUUAUACUAACAUUUGGGUUUAUGCUUUAGUAAUUAUUGUUUAGGGUUUAGUAUUAAGGGGUUAAGGUUGUGUCGAUAAAUGUUCUAUAAAUAUUUUAAAAAAUUAGGUUAGUGUUAUUUUACAAAGGCGAAUUGCCACUAAUACCACUUUUCUAAUACCACUUUUCAACUUUACACUAACCAAUUUUACCAUUAAAAUUUUAAUAGGUAAAAUACCAUUAUACCCCUAAUUAAUUAAACCUAAAACUAUUCUCUUCUUCCCCAAAGAUUUCUUCAAAUCUCAGAUCCAAAAUGAACGAUACAUGUAAUCAAAUCCGACGAAUCAGACGAUGUUGACGAGUUCUCCGGCGCUGAGGAGUUCUCCGGCAAAAUUUCUGACUAGUUAUACGGCGAGAUCCGACGACGCUGCUGAUGAGCUCAAACGAACAAGACGAGUUCUCGGCGAGAUUUACGAACACUGAAGAGUUUCCGACGAGAUCUGACGACGAGUUUUCCGGCGAGAUCUAACGAAGACGAGUUCUCCGAUGAAGCUGACAGACUCUACAAGCUCAGACGAACGAGACGAUCUCUUUCCCUACACCUAAGAAACGCUAACAAAGGUAAGAGGAUAAUAGAUGGUGAUUUUCGUCUCUUUCUGUAAUUGUAGGUUGGUUUAUCAAAAUCGAUCUGUUUCUCGAAAGGAAAACGAAAUUUUUCUCAUGAAGUUUUCAAAUCUCAAAUUUAUAAGACCUUAUAAAUUGAGUCCUUUCGAAUCUUACUGUUGAUUUGUUAGCAAUCAAAAGACAUAGAGCUUAACAUAUAUUUAAUUACUAACGUAAGAGUAAUAUUAUUCCAUGAUUACUUCUUCUUUUGGUUGAUCUGGUAAUGUUGCAGGGAAUUACAAAGGUGUGCUGUGAGCUUUUAGAUUUAAAGGAUGCUGUGGAGAAUAUAUGUGGUGAUAUGCAUAUCAAGUACCUCACUUUCUUGAGGUAAUACAAUGCUACUAUUUGUAGUUUGACUAGCAAAGUUUAGUAUGUGCAAUAUAUGAGGUAGAAGGUUGGUAUUUUGAUGUAACGUUAUGUUUGGUACUUUAUGAGAUUCAUUUUUAUGUCUUGUUUUGUGUAUAAUAUCUAAAGAAGCAGUGGAGAUGGAGAUGAGUUUGUUGAGUUACGAAAGCAUAUUAUUUUUGAAUCUUGUUUUUGGAAGUGAGCUAGUGCUGAUGCGUAGGAAUAAUAUGUGAUUGGCUUGCGUUCAGAUUUUGAAGAUCGACCAGGUUGGUGAGCUGUUUGAAGAAGUAAGAGGGACUCUGAACUAGAACGUGGUUUGUGCGAUCAAAGAAUUACAUAUUUAUAACGCUUUAUAAAAGUUGCAGAGUUGGCUUGGUAAUACAUUCUUCUCUCUCAUCUUCUUCAGACAUCUCUUAAUUAGGAUGUUAUCGCAUCCAAGGGCUCAAACCAUACUUGUAGAUGGAGCUUUUAGGGAGGGCGAGCCGCUGAUUCCACUUCCUUCAUUUAAGAUCUUGGUGCUUCUCACAUUCUCUUCUCCAUCCACAGGAGUUAAGGUAAGUAGUAGUAUUUAUAAAACUAAACCAUGAAAUGAGCUUGUUUGAUUCUAAUCACAAGCAUGGUCUCUGUACAGUCUACAUAGAGGGUUGAGACAGUAUAUCCCUUGCUGAAGGACGUGGCUCUUUCACCAGAUAUGUCUUUUUGUGUUAAUUGUCUUUUUGAGGGACUUUAGAAAACUUAACUUGUAACCCAUUAUAAAUCAGUUUAUAAACGUUUAUAAAUCAUUUUUGAGUUCCUUAUACUUAUUCUGCCUAGCAUUCCUCACAAGACUUCUCAAGUUCACACAUUUAUAUGUUUUAAUAGACAUAUCCGAUCAACUCUUGUUUAAAAACUUCUUUAUAAAGACUUAUAAAUCGUAGUUUCACAAAAAAAAAAAAAAAAAGAGACUUAUAAAUCGUCAAGUUGUACUUUUAAUAAUAUCCUGAAAUCCAGAUUUAUAAAGAAUUAUAAUUAAUGCAGUGUUCACUAUCCGAAAAUCUUAAUCUUAACCAGAAUUAUUCAAAUAACAAGUCCAACUAAGCCUUAUUUGCUUUUUGGAUAACAGAAGGAAGCAAAUCCUAAAAUUACUUGAACUCUUAUUUAAAAACUUUUUUAUAAAGACUUAUAAAUCGUCGAGUUGUACUUUUGAAAAUAUCCUGAAAUCCAGAUUUAUAUUUUAUAAAGGUCUAAAAAAUUGGAACAAAUUUAACUUUUAGUAAAUAACUGCAUGACUAAUGUUGUAGAGAGAAACUCACACACAUUCAAAGACUGAAUUGAACAACAUUAAAGAGUUGACGAAGUCGGUUGUUUAGAACAUAUUCAUAUAAAUUGUUUUUAUAAAUAUUUUAUAAACUCUUAUAAAUUAUUUACAUACCUUUAUAAACCCUAGAAAAUUAUUUUAUUAACUCUUAUAACUUGUUUAAUAAGCUUUUCUAAAUGGUUAUAGACUCUUAUAAUUGAUUUAAGAUCUCCAAUUGAUUUCUAAACCUGUAUAUACCUCUAUAAACCUUAUAAAUUAUAUACAUACCCCUUAUAAAUGAUUUAUAAACUUUUAUAAUUUUUUUAAUAAACAUUUAUAAAUUGUUUAUAUACUUUAUAAAAUUUUUUAUAAGCCUUUAUAGAUGGUUUAUAGACUCUUACAAAUAAUUUGUAAACCUUUAUAAAAGGUUUAUAAUAUUUAUAAAUUGUUUUUAAUAAAAUUUUAUAAAUGAUUUAUAAACUCUUAUUAAUUAUUUAUAUAUCCUUAUAAAUAUUAUUUUACAAGUCUUUAUAAAUUGUUAUAGCCUCUUAUAAAUGAUUUCAUAGACUUUCUAUGUGAUUCAUAAACCAAUAAACCUUAUAAAUUGUAUGCAUAUCCCUUAUAAAUUGUUUAUAAACUUUCAUAACAUUUUUAUAAACAAUUAUAAAUGGUUUAUAGACUUUAUUAAUUGUUUUAUAAACCUUUAUAAAAAGAUUAUAAACUUUGCAAAUUGUUUUAUAAACUUUUAUAAAUGAUUUAUAAACUCUUAUUUGCUUUUCAUCUCUCCUUUGCUCUUUAUUUUUAUCUUCUUUCAUGUGUUAUUGCCUUAUAUCAUACGUUGCAAAAUGUAAAUUCACAAAUCCUUGUUCCCAUUAGCUUUUCUUCAUUUUAUAUCCUUGUUGAACCGUCAAGAUCCAUGUUAUCAAGAUCAGGAGGUGUUGGGUUCACGAAAUGUUUGUAUUCCUCAGGGAAUCCAAACACUGUAUUAACCACAAGAUGUAACAAAGAAUAAACAACGUUUUAUAAGUCUCUACAAAUCUCUAAUUUAUAAUUUAAUAAACUCCUAUAAACUACAUUUAUAAUCUUUUAUAAACACUUCACAUUAUUGCAAAGACACCGAUUGGAUAAUCACUUUUGAAUUGUCUACUGGUUCUGUUCCAGCUUCAUAAAUCCUCAGAGGCAAUCUCAAAGAUGUGCAAUUCAUUGCUAUCUAGCUGCAAGACGAAAUAAAAAAUGAUGUUAACUUUUAAUCAUGGUCUAAAAAUACCUUAUCCAAUCAUAAUGUUUAUAUAUUUCGAUAACAACCUUACAAAGAAUAUAUGAUAACAAAAGACGAGACUUUUCAAAUUCACACAUUUAUAUGUUUUUUAUAGACAUAUAUGAUUAACUCCUGUUUACAACCUUUAAUUAUAAAAUCUUGUAUUGCAUUGAGUUGUACUAUCGACAAUAUCCUAAACCCAAGAUUUAUAAGAGGUUAUAAUUCUUUAAAAUGCAAUGUUCACUAUCCGAAAAUCUUUCUCCUAACAAGAACUAUUCAAAUGACAAGUCUAAAUCAACCUUAUUUGUUUUUUGGAUAAUAGAGGAACGAAAAUCCUAAAAUUACUUGAACCCAGAUUUAUAAUGGUUUAUAAUUUUUCAAAAAUUCAAUGUUUACUAUUGAAACUCUUUCCCUUAGAUCGACAUGUUCUAAACCUACCUUCGUUGACUUUCUUCGAACAAAAAAAAAUACCUAAGUAGCUGCUUCCACCUCAUCUGGUUCCCUUGACCAUCUCAAUCCACAAUACUCGCCUGCUGCAACUUGCGUCUUCUUCGACGUAGCAAGAACUUUCUCCAAAUCCAACUGUGACAAUGGCCUAGAGGACAUGGUCUCCAUUUUCUCUCUUCCUCUAGGAUUUCUCUGAUAGGGAAGUAAGCUGCUUUCUUGCAGAGCUCAAAGAUGUCUGAUCCGGUGUAGCCUCCGCAUAGACGAGCUAAGUGAUCGUAGUCAAUAUCGGGCUCCACCCUCUCUCCCUUCAGCGUCACUUUCAAUAUCUCAGCUCUCUCCUUACGUUCAGGCAUUCCAAUCUCAAAGGCUUGAGGAAGACGCCUCAUUAUUGGUUCAUCAAACUCUGAUGAUCUGUUUGUUGCAGCAAGUACCAUCACCCUCGCAUUCGCUACGAAGCAACCAUUAUACUCAUUUAAAAACUACUGUAUCCAAGUAGAGCAUGCUCUAGACUGCACUAGAGUGAUCUGAAAGGUGAAUGAUUCAACUUACGAUCAGUAGAAAACCCAUCCCAUAAAGCCAUAAACUUAGUCUUCAUGUUUGCCAUGGCUUCGUGAUCUGUGACUUUUGUACCUGUGACUUUUGUUUCAUGCAUCUUUUUCUUCACUUAUAAAUCAUUGAGUUGUAUUUAUCAACAAUCUCAUGAAACCCAGAUUUAUAAGGGGUUAUAAUUCUUUAAUAUUCAGUUUUCACUAUCGUAACUUAUCUCUUCCUUAAUAUGCAGUUUUCACUAUCGGAAAAUCUAUUUCUUAGCUGAAACCAUUCAGAUCAAUCUUAAUAUGACUUCAAAACCAGAUUUAAGUUUUCAAAUACUCAAUGUUUUCACUCUCAACGUUUCACUAUGAAAUCAGUUUCUCUUAGAUCGACCUCUUUAAAUGAGAUAUCUAAGAGAACCUUGUUUGAUUUUUCGAUAAGAGAAAGCACAAAAUCGAAUCAAACAAAAAAAAA